UUUUCCUACGGGACGCAGCAGUGGGGAAUAUUGCACAAUGGGGGAAACCCUGAUGCAGCGACGCCGCGUGAGUGAGGAAGUAUUUCGGUAUGUAAAGCUCUAUCAGCAGGGAAGAAAAUGACGGUACCUGACUAAGAAGCCCCGGCUAACUACGUGCCAGCAGCCGCGGUAAUACGUAGGGGGCAAGCGUUAUCCGGAUUUACUGGGUGUAAAGGGAGCGUAGACGGAGGAGCAAGUCUGAUGUGAAAAUCCGGGGCCCAACCCCGGAACUGCAUUGGAAACUGUUUAUCUAGAGUGUCGGAGAG
rnacentral:rRNA from 1 species